GACAGAGGUGCCGAGCGUUAGGCGGAAUCACUGGGCUUAAAGCGUGUGUAGGCGGGCGGGCAAGUACCUUGUGAAAUCCCCACGGCUCAACCGUGGAACGGCUGGGUAUACUGCCUGUCUUGAGCCAACUAGGGGCGAGCGGAACAGACGGUGGAGCGGUGAAAUGCGUAGUAUAUCGUCUGGAACGCCGAAGGUGAAAACAGCUCGCUGGGGUUGUGCUGACGCUGGAGACACGAAAGCCAGGGGAGCGA
rnacentral:rRNA from 1 species